AUGGCUGUGGCUGGCCGGCUGGGAACCGUGGUUGUUCUCCGUCUCGGGCGGUGCUUGGUGCAGCGGGAAGGUGGAGCGGUGGAUGUCGACCAUGGGGAUUGUGUGCUACGCAGUGCUUCGGAUCUGCUCAGGUGUUGCCAUGGUGCUUCUUUGCAUGACUCUCUGGGAGAAAUCCCUAGCUUCGGAUGGUCGAAGCGGGCGAUGUCGGCGGCUACGUUGUUUCCUUCUUUGAGGCAUCGCCUUGGAGAGUCAGCAUAUUGCAGUUUGCACGGAUCUCUUUGUCGUCGAGGGCAGUGGACGUCGGGGCGGCGGCUCCGGAUGAUUUUUGAUUGUGCGUCGAGAUGGCGAUCUCGGGAACAAUGUGAGUGGCAGCUCUAUGAGGUGGGGCUCUAUCGACAUUGGUUGGGUGGCAUCCUUGUCCCGCUUGGGCGGUAG
rnacentral:rRNA from 1 species